CUUUAACGUAAUGAAUGAUAAUUAACCAUAAUUCGUAAAUAACUGCAACGAUAUUUUAGCAAACACAGAUCGCUGAAAAACUGGAAAGCCUGGUUUACUGGCGCCAAGAAACCCGCAAAACCGAACCGACAAUAGACGAAUACGAUAUUAUGACUUCCCUGGUCGAGCGGGGCCAUGCGAAACGAUUAACAUUGUCCGCCGGUGGCGUUAUGGAUUUGACACCGCUUUCCUUACUCACAUUCGCCUGCUGUGUUCUCGGCUUCGUCAUAUUUGCGGUCGAUCGCAUGGAGAACAUCCAGUCAACUGCCCGCAUGGUUACCAAGCUGAUUGUCGACCACAACGUCACCAUUCCGGAAGAACUCAAAGCAAACCUCACCAGUAUUUGAUUGGAACUAAUUUGUGAUUAAAAAUUUUCACUUAUAACGUAAGUAUACUCUGUAGCAGUGUUUUUA